rnacentral:rRNA from 1 species
AUGAACGCUGGCGGCGUGCCUAACACAUGCAAGUCGAACGGAGAUUUAACGCUGAUGAAGCUUCGGCAGAAUCUUGUUAAAUCUUAGUGGCGGACGGGUGAGUAACGCGUAGGCAACCUGCCUCAUACUGGGGGAUAACAGCUGGAAACGACUGUUAAUACCGCAUAAGCGCACAGUGUCGCAUGACACAGUGUGAAAAACUCCGGUGGUAUGAGAUGGGCCCGCGUCAGAUUAGCCAGUUGGCGGGGUAACGGCCCACCAAAGCGACGAUCUGUAGCCGGCCUGAGAGGGCGGACGGCCACAUUGGGACUGAGACACGGCCCAAACUCCUACGGGAGGCAGCAGUGGGGGAUAUUGCACAAUGGAGGAAACUCUGAUGCAGCGACGCCGCGUGAGUGAAGAAGUAUUUCGGUAUGUAAAGCUCUAUCAGCAGGGAAGAAAGGCUCGCAAGAGAGAUGACGGUACCUGACUAAGAAGCCCCGGCUAACUACGUGCCAGCAGCCGC